rnacentral:lncRNA from 1 species
UCCCAAACACCCCCGUCUAUUAGAAGGCCCAGACCUAACCCUAGCUGAGCCGCCUCAAAACUCCACCGCCUUCCCCCGGCGGCGCCACCGUGAAUCGCCACCAAACUUACACCAAACACCUCCCUCCUUCUCCUCUUUCCGAAUCUACAAAUCCCCACCCUCGAAUCAACCCAGAACGGCUCGAAUCUGGUUUUGGAAGAAAACCCUAGCUGAGCAGCCCCCAAAUCCCCAGCCUCUGGUGGCGGCGCCUACCCCAAUCCCACCCAAAAUCACACCCUAUAACCACCUCACUCCCCUAAUCUCAAAUCCCCACUCCGUUUGUUUCAAAUCCCCCUGAAUCUCCUCGAAUCUUAUAUCAAAAGACGAACCUUAGAAACUCCAAAUCGGGUUAUGAAGGAAUUUCAAGCCUAAUUUGAUUUUUAUCGUGUGUUCUUUAUAAGAACACACGAUUAAUAUCAAUUUGGCCGAAAAAUCCGGAAAUUGAAGAAUUUAAGGCAUUCUUCCAUAUUUCUUGUUCAUCCGAAAUUCCUAGGUAUUCUUUCUUUACCCUGUUAUUUUGUGUUCCUUUUCCCCAUCUUCUUCUACUCCUUCUCAUUUUUUUGUUUUGAUUUCUCUGUUUGGUUUCAUUUUUUAUUUUAUUUUACUUUUCUUAUUUUAUUUUUAUCAUCUGUGUCCACAUGCUAGAUUUAGGGUGUGCUUGAUUAUCAAUUGUUUCUUAGUCUGGGUAGUUUGAAUUUUGCAUGCUCGUUUUGGGCUUAAUUUGGCUCCAAGUCAUUAGGCUUCUAAAUUUGAACAUCUGGUUUUCUGAGUUUUUCUGCAUAUUAAUUGGGUCACAAAGAUUGUUUAGCCCAAGAGGAGAUUGAUUUGGGUCUGCUCAGACUCACUAAUUCGGGUCAAUUGGACCCUGGUCCUGCCUGGUAUGUAGAGGAUAAUAACAGGGUUUUAGGGGGUUAGUAUAGGAAAUUUAGGUGGGGGAAUCUCUAGUAACUGAAAAGGAAGCUUCUAGGAAGCUGGGGUGGGGGGCUAAUCUGAAAAUCUGAGUUUUAAGCUAAGGGUAUUUAAGCAAAAAGAAAAAUUCAAAAGGGGUCGAAGUGCAAAUCUGUUGAUUAAUUAGGUUGCCCUACUUUCUUGCCUAUAAAGGCAUCAUUUUUUGCAUUGAAAAAAAAAGGAAGAGGCCUAAAAGGCUGAAAAUACAAGAGAAAUCAGAACAACUGGAAGAACACUGCAAAUUACUGUUUCAUUAAAGAUUUCCAUAAUUCUUGAGGCUCUCAUUUCUGAAACAAUCACUAAACCAUCAAUGCUAAAAUGAUUUGAGUUUGGUUGGUUUUCCAAGUUUGGUUCAAGUUUUAGUCGUUUUUUUUAUUGCUGGGUAUCAGUGGUUAUUUCUGCUGGUUUAAAGUUGGGUUCAAAGCUGGUUUCAUUGGUCAUUUCUGAGCUUACUACUGCUGCUGUUUCUGUAUACUCCCAGCUCAUUUUUCUUGUUGGUUUUUGCUGUUGUGAUCAGGUAUUACUCAGCCCUUUGGCAUAUGAAAUGGAAGAACACGAGUUUAUUUGAUUAAGUUGCAAUCUAUGUUUAUCAAAUGUUGUUUCCUAUAUUUCUGAAAAUUAUUAGACUUUACAAUUAGCUUAGUUUCUUUGUUACGUUUGACAUUUUCUGUUUCAGUUUUGAUUUGUAAUAAUGGUUGAAUUAUGAUCUUUAGCCAAUUAGCCUAUAUGAGUUUAAGUCUAGAAUGGACCUGUUAGAGUACUACAGCAAAAAGGGUUCAUAUCUGUUUUGGCUUUGUUAAAACCAGUGUUUGCUUGGUUUUGAUUUCUGCUAAAUGUCAAGCAUAAUUGGAAUGGCUAGUAACUUUCAAUUGGAAUACAUAUCAGUGGUUGUAGCGUGCUAAUUAAAG